AGUGUCAGAGAGUCUACAUCUGAUCAGAGAGACUACAGUGUGUUAAUUAAAAUCGGCAACAGAUCGCUUGUAGAGCAUUUUGAGAGCUACUCGGUCAUUAUUAAACAGCUGGAGACUGUGUACAAGCUAUGUGUCUGAUAAAAUUGUAUUAAAUCGGAAUCAGACGACAGCGUUUCUGUCACUUCCUGUUCAGCAUGAAGGCUG